rnacentral:tRNA from 1 species
UCUAAAUUGGCUCAGCUGGUAAAGAAUCCGCCUGCAACGCGGGAGACCCGGGUUUGAUCCCUGGGUUGGGAA